rnacentral:rRNA from 1 species
GAUGAACGCUGGCGGCGUGCCUAAUACAUGCAAGUCGAGCGAACUGAUUAGAAGCUUGCUUCUAUGACGUUAGCGGCGGACGGGUGAGUAACACGUGGGUAACCUGCCUGUAAGACUGGGAUAACUUCGGGAAACCGAAGCUAAUACCGGAUAGGAUCUUCUCCUUCAUGGGAGAUGAUUGAAAGAUGGUUUCGGCUAUCACUUACAGAUGGGCCCGCGGUGCAUUUGCUAGUUGGUGAGGUAACGGCUCACCAAGGCAAGGAUGCAUAGCCGACCUGAGAGGGUGAUCGGCCACACUGGGACUGAGACACGGCCCAGACUCCUACGGGAGGCAGCAGUAGGGAAUCUUCCGCAAUGGACGAAAGUCUGACGGAGCAACGCCGCGUGAGUGAUGAAGGCUUUCGGGUCGUAAAACUCUGUUGUUAGGGAAGAACAAGUACAAGAGUAACUGCUUGUGCCUUGACGGUACCUAACCAGAAAGCCACGGCUAACUACGUGCCAGCAGCCGCAGUAA